rnacentral:lncRNA from 1 species
CGAAAACAAAGAUUCACAAUGAAAGAAACAAACAUAAUUACACAAUUCUCAAGAAAUCUGGACAAAGAAAAGAAGUCGACAGUAUCCAACACAGAAUCAGAGAAAACAGAUACUCAUGAAGAAUCAUCCAAGCAGUUCAAAACAUGGAAGAACAGUCAAUCAGUUCAAGAGGUGAAUAAAAAAUAACAGAACCUCACAG